UCCGCCGCGCCGUCUCGGGCUCGCUUGGUGCAGAUCGGGACCCGCCGCCCGGCCGACGGGACGGAUCCCGCCUUGCAUCAAGUGAAUCGGAGCCGGCGCAGCGA
rnacentral:pre_miRNA from 1 species